UCAGGGUUGGAGCUAAACUCUGCAGGACAAUGGCCCUCAAGGAUCAAUGUCCCACACCCCUGCUUUAAGCCUUGUCUGUGAAACCAGGGAAUUGUGUAGGUAUAAUGUGCCACAAGAUGGCAGCGUUCUCAGACAUUCACUAGGAACUGCAGCAAUGAACAACAGAAUUGAACUUACAGAACAUAAUGUUAUAAUGUUCUCAGAGAGGAGGGACUCAGAGUUCACAGAUCUGACAUGAUCUAAUCGUGUCUGAAAGAGACUGUGGAUGAAACCAUUCAGUCUGACUCUUCUCAGAGUGAACACUUGAACAAUGAAUCUUCAUUCAGUUAUUCUGCUCUGUGUCUCAGCAGCUGCUGUCUUUGGAAAUACCAUCAAACCAGACACAACAGAUGUUGGUGCAAAUGAGGGACAAAAUGUUAAGUUGUCCUGUAGUUAUUCCUCCACUGGGUAUACAGAGUAUCUCUUCUGGUACCGUCAGUAUGGAAGAUCAAAACCUGAAUUUCUUGUUUCCACCUUAAGUACUGCAACAGAUGCUAAAGAAUCUGAUGUAGAUUCAAGAUUUUCUGUUAAAGUUGAAAAAAAGGAACAAAUCCAUGUGGAUCUGAUCAUCUCCUCUGCUGCAGUAUCAGACUCUGAUCUGUAUUACUGUGCUCUGAGGCCCACAGUCACAGGAAACACAAGAACACUGUACAAAAACCUGUGACAAUGAGAGAAACAGAGACGAGAAAGAAACUGUAACUGAUAAUUACAGCAUUAUGUUAGAAAGUAAUAGAAUCAAUGAAUAAAUCACAGGUACCAAAUCAAAAGGUAGAUACAAAUUUCUUUUCUUUCAAGGUGUGAAUUUGUUCCCUUAAUUACUGAUUUCAUUCACCUGUUGUUCUAUUAGUUACUCAUUAAUUCUCCCUAUUAUUUAAGCCCUGCGUCUCCUCUGUUCCUUUCUCCAGUAUUGUUGUUAUCCAAGUUUGUCUCAUAUGAUCUCCUAAG